rnacentral:rRNA from 1 species
AAUAGAUACCCGGGUAGUCCACGCCGUAAACGAUGAGUGCUAGGUGUUGGGGGGACCCCCCUCAGUGCCGCAGGUAACCCAAUAAGCACUCCGCCUGGGGAGUACGGUCGCAAGACUGAAACUCAAAGGAAUUGACGGGGGCCCGCACAAGCGGUGGAGCAUGUGGUUUAAUUCGAAGCAACGCGAAGAACCUUACCAGGGCUUGACAUCCCGCUGACCGGUGUAGAGAUAUGCCUUUCCCCUUCGGGGGGACAGCGGUGACAGGUGGUGCAUGGUUGUCGUCAGCUCGUGUCGUGAGAUGUUGGGUUCAGUCCCGCAACGAGCGCAACCCUUGUUUCUAGUUGCCAGCACUUCGGGGUGGGCACUCUAGAGAGACAGCCGGUGAAAGCCGGAGGAAGGUGGGGAUGACGUCAAAUCAUCAUGCCCCUUAUGUCCUGGGCUACACACGUGCUACAAUGGCUGGUACAAAGGGCAGCGAACCCGCGAGGGGGAGCCAAUACCCAAAAAACCGAGUCUCAGUUCGGAUUGCAGGCUGCAACUCG